AGGUGACUGAGACGCGAGCACAUCUGGGUCACCUCCCAUCCGUGUCUAUCUGUACCCUGUUGCUUCGGCGUGGCCACGGCCCGCCGGAGACUAACAUUUGAACGCUGUCUGAAGUUUGCAGUCUGAGUUUUUAGUUAAACAAUCGUUAAAACUUUCAACAACGGAUCUCUUGGUUCCGGCAUCGAUGAAGAACGCAGCGAAAUGCGAUAAUUAAUGUGAAUUGCAGAAUUCAGUGAAUCAUCGAGUCUUUGAACGCACAUUGCGCCCCCUGGUAUUCCGGGGGGCAUGCCUGUCCGAGCGUCAUUGCUGCCCUCAAGCACGGCUUGUGUGUUGGGCUUCCGUCCCUGGCAACGGGGACGGGCCCAAAAGGCAGUGGCGGCACCAUGUCUGGUCCUCGAGCGUAUGGGGCUUUGUCACCCGCUCCCGUAGGUCCAGCUGGCAGCUAGCCUCGCAACCAAUCUUUUUAACCAGGUUGACCUCGGAUCAGGUAGGGAUACCCGCUGAACUUAAGCAUAUCUAAACCGGGGAAGAAAAACUCUUUUUUCCCUUCUG
rnacentral:misc_RNA from 1 species